rnacentral:rRNA from 1 species
GGUCAAGCGAAUAUAGGUUUAUGGUGGAUGCCUAGGAGCUAUAAGGCGAAGAAGGACGUGAUAAGCUGCGAUAAGCCAGGGUAAGGAGCACAUAUCCGCUAACCCCUGGAUUUCCGAAUGGAGUAAUCCAAUAGUAGUGAUACUAUUAUCUGAAUACCUGAAUAUAUAGGGUACAGAAGUCAUACUGAGUGAAGUGAACCAUCUAAGUAACUCGGGAACAGAAAUCAAACGAGAUUCCCCCAGUAGCGGCGAGCGAAGCGGGAAGAGCCCAAACCACGCAAGUGGGGUUGUAGGACUGCGAUAUUGAGUUAGGCAACAAAUCAAUUUGUAGGAGAAUCACUUGGGAAGGUGAGCCAGAGUGUGUGAAAGCCACGUAUCCGAAACGAAUUGGUCUCAUAGCAGAAUCCUGAGUAAGGCGGGGCACGUGAAACCCUGUCUGAAUCCGGGUCGACCACGAUCCAAGGCUAAAUACUAGAUAGCUACCGAUAGUGAACAAGUACCGUGAGGGAAAGGCGAAAAGAACCCUGGUAAAGGGAGUGAAAUAGAACCUGAAACCAUAAACUAACAAGAUGUCACAGCCCGCAAGGGUAGUGGCGUGUCUUUUGUAGAAUAAACCUGCGAGUUACGGUAUGCAGCAAGGUUAAGGAAUCGAAGUUCCGAAGCCGAAGGGAAACCGAGUCUGAAUAGGGCGAGUAAGUUGCAUGUCGUAGACCCGAAGCCAAGGUGAUCUAGUCAUGGGCAGGUUGAAGCCUGGGUAAAACCAGGUGGAGGACCGAACAGUAAUCUGUUAAAAAAGGUAGUGAUGACCUGUGACUCGGAGUGAAAGGCUAAACAAACCUGGAAAUAGCUGGCUCUCCCCGAAAUGCCUUUAGGGACAGCCUCAUAUAAAACUAUCGGAGGUAAAGCACUGGAUGAGAAAGGGGGAGUCAAAUCCUACCAAUUUCAAUCAAACUCUGAAUGCCGAUAGUCAGCGUAUGGGAGUGAGACUGCGUGCGCCAAGGUUCGUAGUCGAAAGGGAAACAGCCCAAACCGGCAAUUAAGGUCCCAAAAUUAUGCUAAGUGUGAAAUGAAGUGCGGAUGCAUAGACAGCCAGGAGGUUGGCUUAGAAGCAGCCAUUCCUUCAAAUAGUGCGUAACAGCUCACUGGUCGAGCAUCUGUGCGCAGACAAUGUAACGGGGCUAAGCAUAAUACCGAAAUUCCGGACUCAUAUCAAAGGAUAUGAUUGGUAGGGGAGCAUUGAAAUAACUGAAGAAGGCGUAUCUGUGAGGAGCGCUGGAGGACUUUCAAGAGAGAAUGCAGGCAUAAGUAACGAAAAAGCGGGUGCGAUCCCCGCUCGCCGAAAACCUAAGGUUUCCAGGGUAAAGGCAAUCUGCCCUGGGUAAGUCGGCCCCUAAGGCGAGGACGAAAGUCGUAGUCGAUGGGAAAUUGGUUUAUAAUCCAAUACUUAUUAAGUUUUUAUGGAAUG